UUUAAUUAUUCAAGAAAGGCUUUUAUUCACAUCAUUUUGCAUACAUAAACAGUGGGCUUGUUUCAAUAUAAGCUGUUUUACAAUAAUAUUGCAGCAUUACAGUGCAGUAAAGUCAGUCGUGAUAGCAAUACUAUAAUUACAAGUCUAGAAAUCAACGCAUCCAUGAAGUGUACUACAGGUGUCAUAUCUGUAUACAGGCGUUUAUAAUAAUGGGUGCGAAUGCAAUGCAGUUAAAUGUGACAUUGCCGACAGAUAUUUCAAAAUAUGUGGGCAUUUUUAUGAAGAUGUGCUUAAUGAACUCAAGAGUAACGAGUAUAUUAUAUAUGUAAGUCUAUCAGUGCUAACUUUAAGUAUUUAAGUCCAUACUGAUAUCAGUACAGCGGACUUAGAAGCGCGUGUCUUAUAAGGAUUACUAAUAGUCGGUAUGGGGAAGUAUGUAGAUAAAUCGCAUGGUUGCAACUGUGCAUCAGGCCCACCUGCUAUCCAAGUUGUAUGAGCUAUGUAAGUUUUCAGGUUAACCGUUAAAGGCUAGUGUCAGCCCACAGUGUUUCGCUUAUGUAUGUCUGAUUGUUCAUUUUCUUUUGCUCUAUCCUAUUUCCUGUGUGUUUUCCUGCAAUUAUAAAGGGUAUAUUCCAAAAAACUAAAUCAAUUUACAGGGUUACAGUUAUGAACGUUGUGCCUUAACAUGCGGGAAGAAGAAUGCAGUAAAGAAGCAGCAGCUCUUCUGUUUAUCGCCACCUGGGAGCCCCUGGGUUCUUAUGAUUUAUCUUGUGGCAAAAACGGUGUCAUUAACUAUGGCGUAUGGCCUACUCCAUUCUACUGUUAGGCUUUUGUAGCCAUAGCCCAGACUCCAUAUUAAGUUUGUACCAAGUAUAACUCCCUCUAGCGCUCCAGGUAAUCAUGAUGUGAUAAUAUAAGAGAAGGGGAAAUAAAAAAGAUGUGAAGUAUGCCCUCGGGGUUGUGGAGGGGCCUGUGGUAUAGGGCCCUACGUGAAGAUCCCUGGUUAGGUCCUCUUGUGAACCCCAGGGAUCUUGGUCCAAGCACGUGCGGCCAGGUUAUAUAGAUUAAAAAAAAAAAACACAAGUAGGUAAUUAAGGAAAUAAAAUUAAGUAAAAAUAACUUCCUGCUUUAGGUGGGAGCUAUCCUUGCCUGAGUGUGUCACAUAUGAGGUGUAGUAUGAAGCCUCUGCGGGGUCCUGCCUAGUACAUCAACAUCAGGCACCCGUGGGUGCCAACAUAUACAUUAACACCCAGCUCCUGGUAAAGCCCCCCCCCAUGAGCUUCCAGGUAUAGCGAGCACUUGAGGUAACCCAGUCCAUGAGAACCCCCUCUCCUAGAGUCCACUAACUGGACGGCCUCUGCACCUCCACUGUCCCGGUGGAGUCUCAAUAAGUAAGACAGGGUGCCUCCGUGGGCCCCCUCCAUCGCCGACCACUGCUCCUAAGCUUAGUCCAUGCGACCACCGGUCCACUGCAGCCCCCCACAGACCAGCCCGGCCGGGCUCGCACCAACGGGAAGCAACAUUCUCCAGGUCUCCGGAUCUUCUAGAGAUGGAGGUCACUCCUGUCCGACGCUAGACAGUCCGGUAACCAUGAUGCCACUGCAUGUCGGCAGUCCUCUCGGCGCUCCUGAGUGAUUUCUGGGCGGACUCCUGGAUGAGUGUGUUAGUAGUCGUUUAAUCCGGUCCGUGACAAGCCAAGUAGGGGGCUCCACAAUGUAUGUCUUGUCUCCCCUGUAGUGGCUGAGUACAUACUGGCAGAGCUGCACUAACGUCCCACAAUUGCAGGCUGGUAACCGCAAGCCUGUAUAUGAAAACUUGCAUCUUCAAAACAGGAAACAAUUUAACAGGUAACUGGGAUGACCCUCCAGAUCCUGGGGGGGGGUGCGGGGCCGCAGCGUGCUCUCUCCGGUCACCUCUUGCACGUUAGGAGAGGCAGGCGCUUUCAUAUCAUGCUCGUUCACUGAGCAUGUGCAGAGUGCUUCCAGGCACAGCAAUAGGCCUCAGGUUCAUGCCAUCAUGUAGGCCCGAGUUUUCAGCUUCCUCACUUUUGUAAGAUCUGCAGCCGCUGGUUGGUCUCUUUGUGAUGCUGGCAGGUUACUCAAUUCAGAUAUCUUAAUUUUGAAGGGUUAAUAGUCAGUUUGUGGGCAGAAAAUCAGUGUUUAUUCAGGCUUAGGACCGGAGCUGCAUGAUAUGGCUCCACGGUCCAGCCCCGCCCCCUACAUUUUAUUUAAAGUUUGUUUCACUUCUCUUUUUUUAGUUAUUUUUUUCAAAUGAUGUUUGAUGCCUGGAAACAUUUAUCCUAUAUUUAGCAUUGAG